CAGGAUGAACGCUGGCGGCAUGCCUAAUACAUGCAAGUCGAACGAAGUCUUUANGAAGCUUGCUUCCAAAGAGACUUAGUGGCGAACGGGUGAGUAACACGUAGGUAACCUGCCCAUGUGCCCGGGAUAACUGCUGGAAACGGUAGCUAAAACCGGAUAGGUAUGAGGAAGGCAUCUUCCUCAUAUUAAAGCACCUUCGGGUGUGAACAUGGAUGGACCUGCGGCGCAUUAGCUGGUUGGUGAGGUAACGGCCCACCAAGGCGAUGAUGCGUAGCCGACCUGAGAGGGUGAACGGCCACAUUGGGACUGAGACACGGCCCAAACUCCUACGGGAGGCAGCAGUAGGGAAUUUUCGUCAAUGGGGGGAACCCUGAACGAGCAAUGCCGCGUGUGUGAAGAAGGUCUUCGGAUCGUAAAGCACUGUUGUAAGUGAAGAACGCCACAUAGAGGAAAUGCUAUGUGGGUGACGGUAGCUUACCAGAAAGCCACGGCUAACUACGUGCCAGCAGCCGCGGUAAUACGUAGGUGGCAAGCGUUAUCCGGAAUCAUUGGGCGUAAAGGGUGCGUAGGUGGCACGAUAAGUCUGAAGUAAAAGGCAACAGCUCAACUGUUGUAUGCUUUGGAAACUGUCGAGCUAGAGUGCAGAAGAGGGCGAUGGAAUUCCAUGUGUAGCGGUAAAAUGCGUAGAUAUAUGGAGGAACACCAGUGGCGAAGGC
rnacentral:rRNA from 1 species